GUGGGGAAUAUUGGACAAUGGGCGCAAGCCUGAUCCAGCCAUGCCGCGUGAGUGAUGAAGGCCCUAGGGUUGUAAAGCUCUUUCGCCAGGGACGAUAAUGACGGUACCUGGAUAAGAAGCCCCGGCUAACUUCGUGCCAGCAGCCGCGGUAAUACGAAGGGGGCUAGCGUUGUUCGGAAUCACUGGGCGUAAAGCGCACGUAGGCGGAUCUUUAAGUCAGGGGUGAAAUCCCGAGGCUCAACCUCGGAACUGCCUUUGAUACUGGGGAUCUCGAGUCCGGGAGAGGUGAGUGGAACUGCGAGUGUAGAGGUGAAAUUCGUAGAUAUUCGCAAGAACACCAGUGGCGAAGGCGGCUCACUGGCCCGGUACUGACGCUGAGGUGCGAAAGCGUGGGGAGCAAACAGGAUUAGAAACCCCAGUAGUCC
rnacentral:rRNA from 1 species